rnacentral:misc_RNA from 1 species
GGAAAAAAUUCCUGCACUGCAGACCAGUGGGGUUGACUUCAUGACGCUCUGGGAGUUGCAAGAUGAGCUUGAUGUUAGAUAUAUAUAUUCCAAUGACAUUCAUGCCAUGCUUCAAACAUAUGGAGUGGAAGCUGCUAGGGAAACCAUAAUUAGAGAAAUUCAAAACAUUUUCACCUCAUAUGGGAUAUCUGUCAAUAUGCGACAUCUAACUCUCGUUGCUGAUUAUAUGACUCAUUCCGGUGGUUACCGACCGAUGAAUCGACUAGGAGGCAUAGCCGAUUCAAUAUCUCCUUUUAGUCGAAUGACUUUCGAGACGGCUUCAAAGUUCAUUGUUCAAGCUGCAUUCCAUGGGGAGAUAGAUGCCUU